rnacentral:rRNA from 1 species
GGAUGAAGGCCUUCGGGUUGUAAACUGCGGUAGUAAAGUAACAAAUUAUUGAGUGCUUUACGGAAAGAGGUUGGUAACUACGUGCCAGCACCCGCGGUAAAACGUAGACCUCAAGCGUUAUCCGGAUUUAUUGGGCGUAAAGCGCGUGUAGGGGGUUUUGUGCGUCUUCUGUUAAAGCCCACGGCCUAACCGUGGAAGUGCAGGAGAUACGGCAGAACUGGAGGAGGUUAGAGGUGCAUGGAGCGCACGGUGUAGGGGUGAAAUCCGUUGAUAUCGUGCGAAACACCAAAGGCGAAGGCAUUGCACUGGGACCUUCCUGACCCUGAGACGCGAAAGCGUGGGGAGCAAAAAGGAUUAGAUACCCCCGUAGUCC